GCGGGGCGGUGUGCACAGUGUCCAGUCUGUGUCUAGUAAAGCAUCCGUCUGGUGUCCUGCCGGUCGGACGCUUUGCUCACACAAUUCCUGCAGCCCGAUAUAAACAAGGAGAUCAUAGUAUCGGUCUAGUGACGUCUCCGGACGCUCCACCCGCUGGCCGGCCUCCAAACUCUCCAACACAG